rnacentral:lncRNA from 1 species
CGUCAUCUCUCCUGAUCUUUGGUAUCCUGGGUAGCUCAGAGAUGUCUGUUCUUCUGGGCGCUGGCUUCAGGGGAGGCCCCGGCACCACACUGCGACAUGGGGGCUUAGAAUCUCUGCUUGAGAUCUUAGACGCGGCAGAGGCAAGGGGCAAGGUGUGCUUGUUGGUGCCGUUGAACCAGGGGCUGUGGCUCUGUCUGAAGCCAGGCACACUCCCAUUUGACAAGUUCCGAGCCUGAACCGCCCCAGGGGCUGCUGGCAAGUCCAGCCUCACAGGCGCCCCCGCGGUGCGGGCGGGGGUGCGGGACCUGCCUUGACAGCUGAGCCCUGUGCUCUGUGGCCUGUUUCCUGACGGGCCUUGGGCCGGGCUCCCGGAGGGCAGUGCUCGGGGCUGCAGGCAGCCCUUGAAUCCUUCUUCCCCUCUGGACAGACUGCCUGAGUUUCGCUGAAAAGAAACUGGAGCUAAAAAACAAAAAAGUCAAUGGCAAUCAUUUCCCACCCACUCUUCUUAAAUGUCAGUGGUUUAAUUUUUAUCACAACUGGUUUUCUGUGAGGUCGUGCGCUUUAAACUCCUGUCUGCCUGUUGAGGUGGACACCUCGCCUUUCCACACCCGGAGAGCUGCUUCAACAGCCACUCUGUGGAUGACAAAGUACAGUGCCUGAGGCCAUCAGGACACGAUAUUAACCAGGGGCGGGGGCAGUACCCCAUCAGGACAUGUUCUUAUGAACAUGAAGCUGUGGGGCUGGGUAAGAACUCGGAGCUAACUGAGAAACUGCUCAAGAAGGGAAAUCAAUGCAGAAAAAUGGCUGAGGAAUGGUCCCCCCAACUUCAGCUACAUCUUCCGUGACUGAGACAUGGGCUGAGUGCUUGCGAACAGCCUGAGGACCAGCAGCCCACAGAGGAAGGGGCCGUGGCAGGGAAGGCACUCACCCGCCCUCUUGGCGCUGAGGGAGCCGUCGCGGUGGAUGAUGACAUCACUGCUGCCCAGCAUCAGGAGGCUCUGGCCCGACAGGAUGCUGCCCAGCAGGUCAGGCACUG